AUUUGACCGUUAUGCCCUUUGUGGUCACGUGGCGCGCCGCGAGUGGCUGGCGGCAGCUUUCUGCCUCGCGCGUGCGCGCUCGUGCCGCUCGAAGAUCCUGGCGGUCGGGCGCCGGGGUCGGGGAAUGGACGGGCCGGAUGCGUUACACGUCAGCGAAUACGUGGCGCCGGGAGGGAUUUGGGGGAAGAACCUAUCCGGACUUGCUAGUCCGUACUCCGUAGUCGAUCCCGAUUGAAGAUCGAGGGAAUCACGAAACUGUUGAUCUUUACGAGCUUACCCCUUGCCGUGUCCUUCCUCUCCGAUUUUGACAGAGAAAACUGCUUCCUUUUCUUUCGUUUGGAAUUGGAAGGUGCUCCGGAGCUCCCCAUCUUCUCUAGGGAUCAACCUAAAUUCAGCUUCUUUGUGGAAGGAGUUUCACUUUGUCAGCCGCAUGGCACCGGAAUUGCGAUUGACUCUGUUGCUACAAGGUUGUGUUCUUGCCUUCUUGGGAAUCAGGAUAGCCCAGGACUACGCUUUUCUUCAAAUGGGAUGAAUUCAAAGCAACAAGGUGAAGACGUAUCACAAUCGUCAUCUGCUUCUUUGUUAUUAGAGUAUGCUAGCUAGGAGUAUGAUCUACAUUCAGUACAUGUUACACUGAACAUCUGUAUUCAUAUCAGUAACUUGGGCACAGCAUGGUUGCUGCAUUUACAUUUUGACACUAUUAUUCCUGUAAUCUUCUUUC